GUUGGGCCUGCUCGGUGAGAAGAAAAAUUUAACAGCUGCGGUAUUAUAACUGUACUAAGGUAGCAUAAUAAUUUGCCUUAUAAAUUAAGGCUAGAAUGAAUGGUUUGACGAAAAUUAGACUGUCUUUAUUUUAUUUGUUAGAAAUUAAUUUUUAUAGUGAAAAAGCUUGAAUAAUUUAAGGGGACGAGAAGACCCUAUUGAGCUUUAUUUAUUAAUAUUUAAAUAUAAAUAUAUAAUUUAUAUUAUGAAAAUUAUGUUGUAUAUAUAUAUAUAUAUAUAUUUAAUUGGAUUUAAUUUUGAUUGGGGUGAUCAAGGAAUAAAGAUAAAGUAACUUCCUUAAAAUUAAUGAUUGUUUUUAUGGAGUAAUAAACCAAGUUUUUUGCUUAUAAGAUAAGUUACCAUAGGGGUAACAGCGUAAUUUUUUUUGAGAGUUCAUAUUGAAAAAAGAGAUUGCGACCUCGAUGUUGGAUUAAAAAUUACCUUAAGG
rnacentral:rRNA from 1 species